CCUUCUAGAGUUGGGUUUGGGUCAUCAAAACCAUGGAGAACCUCCCAAAGUUGGGUUUGGGUCAUCAAAACCAUGGAGAACCUCCCAAAGUUGGGGUUUGGGUCAUGGAGAACCUUCUAGAAUUGGGUUUGGGUCGUCAGAACCAUGGAGGACUUUCCAGAGUUGGGUUUUGGGUCACGAAGGUCAUGGAGGCCCUCCCAGAUUUGUGUUCUGGGUCAUCAGAACCACGGAGAACCUUCCAGAGUUGGACUUUUGGGUUCUGCGGCGGAAUCGCCCGAAGU
rnacentral:lncRNA from 1 species